UACGAAGGGGGCUAGCGUUGCUCGGAAUUACUGGGCGUAAAGCGCACGCAGGUGGCUGAGUAAGUCGAUUGUGAAAGCCCUGGGCUUAACCUGGGAAUUGCAGUCGAUACUGCUCGGCUAGAGUAUGGGAGAGGGUAGUGGAAUUCCCGGUGUAGCGGUGAAAUGCGUAGAUAUCGGGAGGAACAUCAGUGGCGAAGGCGGCUACCUGGCCCAAUACUGACACUCAGGUGCGACAGCGUGGGGAGCAAACAGG
rnacentral:rRNA from 1 species